GAUGAACGCUGGCGGCGUGCCUAAUACAUGCAAGUCGAGCGAAUGGAUUAAGAGCUUGCUCUUAUGAAGUUAGCGGCGGACGGGUGAGUAACACGUGGGUAACCUGCCCAUAAGACUGGGAUAACUCCGGGAAACCGGGGCUAAUACCGGAUAAUAUUUUGAACUGCAUGGUUCAAAAUUGAAAGGCGGCUUCGGCUGUCACUUAUGGAUGGACCCGCGUCGCAUUAGCUAGUUGGUGAAGUAACGGCUCACCAAGGCAACGAUGCGUAGCCGACCUGAGAGGGUGAUCGGCAACACUGGGACUGAGACACGGCCCAUACUCCUACGGGAGGCAGCAGUAGGGAAUCUUCCGCAAUGGACGAAAGUCUGACGGAGCAACGCCGCGUGAGUGAUGAAGGCUUUCGGGUCGUAAAACUCUGUUGUUAGGGAAGAACAAGUGCUAGUUGAAUAAGCUGGCACCUUGACGGUACCUAACCAGAAAGCCACGGCUAACUACGUGCCAGCAGCCGCGGUAA
rnacentral:rRNA from 1 species